rnacentral:rRNA from 1 species
GACGAACCGUGCGAACGUUGUUCGGAAUCACUGGGCUUAAAGGGCGCGUAGGCGGGCUGCCGCGUCCGGGGUGAAAUCCUUCCGCUUAACGGGAGAACGGCCUCGGAUACGGGCGGCCUCGAGGGGGGUAGGGGCAUCUGGAACUGUGAGUGGAGCGGUGAAAUGCGUUGAUAUUCACAGGAACUCCGGUGGCGAAGGCGAGGUGCUGGACCCCAUCUGACGCUGAGGCGCGAAAGCCAGGGGAGCGAACGGG